GCCAGGGAGCAUGCUUCUUUGAGUCUCGUUUCUACUCAACCUCCCCAGCUUGCUGGGGGAUAAUGAGAGUCUUGGUCGAAAGACGAAGUCUCUUUAAGAAGAGUUGAGUUCCUAAACUCCUAGCGCUCAGACCAAAGCUUUCGGGUUUUGGUCGCCCUCUGAUUGGGUCAAUAUGUGUCUAGUGAUGUGGAUAAUAUAACUUCUUACAUCGCCAAGAUCGUGUUGAUUUGGUCUCUGUGGUCAAAGCACAUUGGAAAACUGGUUCUCAAAAUGGAAAUUAUCUAAUCUUUGAAUUAGAGCUCAAAUGAAGUAAGAUUACCCGCUGAACUUAAGCAUAUUAUUAAGCGGAGGAAAAGAAACUAACAAGGAUGCCCUCAGUAACGGCGAGUGAAGCGGGCAAAGCUCAACCUGAAAAUCGGGUUUCCCAAACGGGAUCUCGAAUUGUGGGCUACGGACUUGUGAUCAGCGUGUGACUUCGGUAUAAAUCAUUCUUUGAAACGAGGUAUCAUAGAGGGUGAGAAUCCCGUCUGUGACCGAAAGUUUGCCGCGUACGAUCCAGGUU
rnacentral:rRNA from 1 species